GAUAGCCAAAGAUGCGGACAGGGUUGAGCGUUGGAUGAUUAAUUACCCUUACAUUUCCACCCCCAGCUACCCAAGGGUCAAACACUCCACCCCAAAACAUCGCCUUGGCAACCAAAGCCAAAGCACCUAAACCUAAAAGCGUUAGGUGAAUGCCUAGGAUUGUUGUCAUCUUGUCUUUAUCUUUCCA
rnacentral:antisense_RNA from 1 species